rnacentral:rRNA from 1 species
AGAGUUUGAUCAUGGCUCAGAACGAACGCUGGCGGCGUGGAUUAGGCAUGCAAGUCGAACGGGCACUUUUGUAGCAAUACCGAAGUGCUAGUGGCGUAAGGGCAAGUAACACGUGGGUAACGUACCUCAGCGCUGGGGAUAACCUUCCGAAAGGAGGGCUAAUACCGAAUGUGGGCGUUCCGCGCAAGCGGGAUGGCCAAAGGUGGGGAUCCGCAAGGACCUACCGCGCAGAGAGCGGCCCGCGUCCUAUCAGCUUGUUGGUGGGGUAAUGGCCUACCAAGGCGACGACGGGUAGCCGAGUUGAGAGACUGACCGGCCGCACUGGGACUGAGACACUGCCCAGACUCCUACGGGAGGCUGCAGUCGAGGAUCAUUCGCAAUGGGCGAAAGCCUGACGAUGCGACGCCGCGUGAACGAAGAAGGCCUUCGGGUUGUAAAGUUCUUUAAGCAGGGGCGAACGCUUUCCCGCGAAUAGCGGGUAGAGCCUGACGGUACCUGCAGAACAAGCCACGGCUAACCUCGUGCCAGCAGCCGCGGUAAUACGAGGGUGGCUAGCGUUGUUCGGAUUUACUGGGCGUAAAGGGGGUCUAGGUGGUAUGCUAAGUCUUCUGUGAAACCCCGGAGCUUAACUCCGGAACUGCAGGGGAAACUGGCAUGCUUA